AUUGUUCACCGAUUAAACCUAUCCUACGACUUGGGAAAUGGGUCUGGAAAUAACUGAAAUGACGUCGAUUGUUGAAAGGAAUGUCGAAAGUUUUUAUCUAUUUAUUGACGCGCUAUAUAGAUAACAUGGUUUCUGUUUUGGAUGUGGCAUACACUUCCUACUGUUGGCGCUGUGGUUUAAUUGGAAUUUUACGCAUUUGUAGACACCAUAGGAUGCCUUGAAGGCCUAAUCCGUAAAGAAACGAUACGAUGUAAAAACAUUUCAACCGGAGAUGGAUAUUAUAAAUACCCCUGGCCUUGGGUUGAAGUGUGUGAUAUUGAGCAUGAAGUUUACGCCGUCGAUCAGACGAAACUGGCUAACGGUAUUGGUGAACUCCCUCAACAAAAACUCUGUCGAAACCUGACAGUGAAAUGCUUUUACAAAAGUGAUGGCAAAAAUAAAGAAUUCUGCGCAAAAUUUGUCAUCGGUAAGAGAAAACGUGAUGCUUGUAACACUAUUAACUAAGACCUUACUAUUUUGCCACCUGUUGCUUCAUAAUAGCUUCAUACUUGUCAACAGAUCACUCAUCUUCUGCUUCCUCUUUAUUAGACCCAGGAAAACCUAAACAACAGUUAAACAACACAAGUGAACAGACUGACGUGGACUCAGUGAAAAGUAAGCUGUUUAUACUGUUUAUACGCAAUGCUGUUCAUACACAAUGUGUGUAUGUAUACUGACCAUUGUCAUUGAAC
rnacentral:lncRNA from 1 species